UGCCUAACACAUGCAAGUCGAACGCGAAAGGGGUUUCGGCCCUGAGUAGAGUGGCGAACGGGUGAGUAACACGUGGGUGAUCUACCUUCGAGUGGGGGAUAACGUUCCGAAAGGGACGCUAAUACCGCAUGACGUUCUGGGUUUGAAGACCUGGAAACCAAAGCUAGGGACCGCAAGGCCUGGCGCUUGGAGAGGAGCCCGCGCCUGAUUAGCUAGUUGGCGGGGUAACGGCCCACCAAGGCGACGAUCAGUAGCCGGCCUGAGAGGGCGGACGGCCACACUGGGACUGAGACACGGCCCAGACUCCUACGGGAGGCAGCAGUGGGGAAUUGUUCGCAAUGGGCGCAAGCCUGACGACGCAACGCCGCGUGGGGGAUGAAGGUCUUCGGAUCGUAAACCCC
rnacentral:rRNA from 1 species